rnacentral:rRNA from 1 species
UAUUAAAUGGCUGCAGUAAUUUGACUGUACAAAGGUAGCAUAAUCAUUAGUUUUUUAAUUGAGAACUGGUAUGAAAGGUCGAACGAAAAAAAAACUGUCUCAAUUUAAUUUAGAUUAGAAUUUUAUUUUUAAGUUAAAAAGCUUAAAUAAUUUUAAAAGACGAGAAGACCCUAUAGAGUUUUAUAUUUAAAUAUUUAUAUAAAAAAUUAAAGAAUUAUUAUUUUUUAUAAAUAUUUAAGUAUUUAGUUGGGGCGAUUGAAAAAUUAAAUUAACUUUUUUUAAGUAUUAAACAUUGAUGUAUGAAUAAUUG